GGCAAUGUAGCAAAGUGGUUACUGCGAUUGACUCGAAUGUGUUGACUCUCCCGUCGACCAAGAUCCGAUAUCAAUUCCCUUCGGGGGCGUAGGUUCGAAUCCUGCCAUUGUCG
rfam:Baudoinia panamericana TAMH 10762 unplaced genomic scaffold BATCOscaffold_4, whole genome shotgun sequence.